GACGAACGCUGGCGGCGUGCCUAAUACAUGCAAGUAGAACGCAGAAGGAGGAGCUUUCUUCUCUGGAUGAGUUGCGAACGGGUGAGUAACGCGCAGGGAACCUGCCCGGUAGCGGGGGAUAACUAUUGGAAACGAUAGCUAAUACCGCAUAACAGUAGAUAACCCACGCUAUUUACUUGAAAGGUGCAAUUGCAUCACUACCAGAUGGUCCGGCGGUGUCUUAUCUAGUUGGUGAGGUAAAGGCCCAACAAGGCGACGAUACAUAGUCGCCCCGCGUGGGUGAACGGGCACAAUGGGACUGGAAAACCGCCCAGGCUCCUAAGGGGGGCAGCAGGAGGGGAGCUUCGGCAAUGGACCGAAGUCUGACCGAGCAACGCCGCGUGAGUGGAGAAGGUUUUCGGAUUGUAAAGCUCUGUUGAAAGGGAAGGACGAGUGUGGGAAUGGAAAGUGCACCCUGUGACGGUAUCUUACCAGAAAGGGACGGCUAACUACGUG
rnacentral:rRNA from 1 species